UCGGGUUGUAAAGCACUUUCAGUGAGGAAGAAAGCUUGUCGGUUAAUACCCGGCAAGGACGACAUCACUCACAGAAGAAGCACCGGCUAACUCCGUGCCAGCAGCCGCGGUAAUACGGAGGGUGCGAGCGUUAAUCGGAAUUACUGGGCGUAAAGCGUGCGUAGGCGGCUUGGUAAGCCGGUUGUGAAAGCCCCGGGCUCAACCUGGGAACGGCAUCCGGAACUGUCAGGCUAGAGUGCAGGAGAGGAAGGUAGAAUUCCCGGUGUAGCGGUGAAAUGCGUAGAGAUCGGGAGGAAUACCAGUGGCGAAGGCGGCCUUCUGGACUGACACUGACGCUGAGGUACGAAAGCGUGGGUAGCAAACAGGAUUAGAUACCCUGGUAGUCCACGCCGUAAACGAUGUCGACUAGCCGUUGGGGUCCUCGAGACCUUUGUGGCGCAGUUAACGCACUAAGUCGACCGCCUGGGGAGUACGGCCGCAAGGUUAAAACUCAAAUGAAUUGACGGGGGCCCGCACAAGCGGUGGAGCAUGUGGUUUAAUUCGAUGCAACGCGAAGAACCUUACCUACCCUUGACAUCGUGCGAACUUGGUAGAGAUACCUUGGUGCCUUCGGGAGCGCACAGACAGGUGCUGCAUGGCUGUCGUCAGCUCGUGUUGUGAAAUGUUGGGUUAAGUCCCGUAACGAGCGCAACCCUUGUCCCUAUUUGCCAGCGAUUCGGUCGGGAACUCUAGGGAGACUGCCGGUGACAAACCGGAGGAAGGUGGGGACGACGUCAAGUCAUCAUGGCCCUUACGGGUAGGGCUACACACGUGCUACAAUGGCCGGUACAGUGGGUUGCAAAGCGGCGACGUGGAGCUAAUCUCAUAAAGCCGGUCUCAGUCCGGAUCGGAGUCUGCAACUCGACUCCGUGAAGUCGGAAUCGCUAGUAAUCGUGCAUCAGAAUGGCACGGUGAAUACGUUCCCGGGCCUUGUACACACCGCCCGUCACACCAUGGGAGUGGACUGCACCAGAAGUGGUUAGCCUAACUUCGGAGGGCGAUCACCACGGUGUGGUUCAUGACUGGGGUGAAGUCGUAACAAGGUAGCCGUAGGGGAACCUGCGGCUGGAUCACCUCCUUA
rnacentral:rRNA from 1 species